rnacentral:ncRNA from 2 species
AUAAAACCUCAGGGGUGCCGGAUGAGUCUGGCUGAGAUUUCCUCACGUUGAAGAGGAGGACCCUUGAACCUGAUCUGGGUUAAGCCAGCGGAGGGAGAGGUGCAGCAAUCGUU